rnacentral:rRNA from 1 species
GACAGAGGUGGCAAGCGUUGUUCGGAUUUACUGGGCGUAAAGAGUGCGUAGGUGGUGAGGUAAGACCUGUGGGAAAGACCUGGGCUUAACCCAGGAAGGUCGCAAGUGACUGCCUCGCUUGAGGACGGGAGAGGAGAGCGGAAUUCCCGGUGUAGCGGUGAAAUGCGCAGAUAUCAGGAGGAACACCGAUGGCGAAGGCAGGUCUCUGGGCCACUACUGACGCUGAGAAGCGAAAGCAUGGGGAGCGAACAGG